rnacentral:piRNA from 1 species
UUGUGUAUUUGCAUAAACUGC